rnacentral:piRNA from 5 species
GCGGUUCUAUUUUGUUGGUUUUCGGAACUGA